rnacentral:rRNA from 1 species
AGCGAACGCUGGCGGCGUGCUUAACACAUGCAAGUCGAGCGAGAAAGAGGGCUUCGGUCCUUGAGUACAGCGGCGAACGGGUGCGUAAUACAUGAGUAAUCUAUCCUUGAGGCGGGAAUAACCCAGCGAAAGUUGGGCUAAUACCGGAUGAGACCACAGGAGGAAACUCCCGAGGUCAAAGGCAGCUCUCUUUUGGGGCGG